rnacentral:misc_RNA from 1 species
GCAAAAAGUUGUGCCCUUUCAGAAACCGUCUGUAAAGGUCCAGCCAGUUGGAUUUCAUCCUCUUCAACAGAAACUUCCCAGGACCCCUUGCUGACAAGCUAGUGAGGAAGUCCUCGGCAUUAAAUGUGGGUAGCGGAGGAGGAUCAACAUACGGGGAAGAUCCUUCAGAAGGUGUUGUUGGUCUAUAAUACGGGCCGAAUGGGGCCAAGAAGUUGGUUGUCAGCUCUAAGAAGUGCCGACGAAGUAUGUCGUUAUUAACAACUGACAUUGAUUCCUCUACCCUGGGUGACAUACCUGCAUCAAUUAGCCUAUUCAAGAUUGAAGUGUCUGGUUUUGUAAUUGGAGCAUAACUGCUCCAAAAGGCUUCUUUGUGCUCAGUCAUCAGGCAGAGUGGACCAUCUCUCCUCAACUUCAUAGCAUUCAAAAAAUUUGAUGGUGUAAACCUAUUCAAGGAAAGACUGGGAAGACUAAGUCCUUCAGGUCCAGCCGGAAUUCUACCGGUUGAAGCUCUAGCAGAAAAUGGAAGUCGAGCUGCAUUCAUGACAGGAUUUCCAACUGAUAAGACGUGUGGAAUUCUUCGAAGGGAUUUCAAGAAAAAGAGGUUUGUCACACCCAAAAUCAUUGGAGGAAAA